rnacentral:rRNA from 1 species
GACGAACGCUGGCGGCGUGCUUAACACAUGCAAGUCGUACGGUAAGGCCCUUUCGGGGGUGCACGCGUGGCGCACGGGUGUGUAUCACGUGAGUAACCUGCCCACAACUUUGGGAUAACGCUAGGAAACUGGUGCUAUAACUGGGUAUGUGCUCCUGCUGCAUGGUGGGGGUUGGAAAGUUCCGGCGGUUGUGGAUGGACUCGCGGCCUAUCAGCUUGUUGGUGGGGUAGUGGCCUACCAAGGCGGCGACGGGUAGCCGGCCUGAGAGGGUGACCGGCCACAUUGGGACUGAGAUACGGCCCAGACUCCUACGGGAGGCAGCAGUGGGGAAUAUUGCACAAUGGGCGCAAGCCUGAUGCAGCAACGCCGCGUGCGGGAUGACGGCCUUCGGGUUGUAAACCGCUUUCGGCAGGGACGAAGCUUUUUGUGACGGUACCUGCAGAAGAAGCACCGGCUAACUACGUG